rnacentral:misc_RNA from 1 species
GUAAAAUUCAUUUCCUCUUGUAAUAUCCCCACAAAUCGUACAUAAUUUUACAGGCUUUACCAAACUAUACACAUCAGCAGGUAGUAGCUUCAGCAAAAAUUUUACAAAAUGGGUGCUAAUAACUUAGUCCCAAGAAUCCCUUGCCUGUCUAAAAUCUUAUUACUCACAUAUCAAAAUCUAAAACAGGCCUACAAAACAAGCAUAUACCAAGAGAUCAAAUUCCCUGCCUCACCUAAAGCAGUUUUGAAUGAUCUCAAAUAGAGCUGAAAGGCUUAAAAAGAUUCAUAUGGUUGACCCCAGUUAGCUUAGUAAAUGGCUUCUUGAACCAAAACAAGUAAAUGUAUGACUAAUUAUGUCAACAACAAGAGGAAACUGUAGUGAAGCAAACAAUGAGACAGGGAUGCUGGCAACGACGAUAAUUGGAAUAGUUGCCCAUUCCAAUCCAUGGCUAAGGAUAAGGAAAAGUGUGGCACUAAAAGCUACCAUCAUGUUAAUUAUAGAAAUGAAAAGGGUUGCAAGUCCCAUGAUUAGCUUGUUCGGUAACGAUCGGAGGAAAUCCUCUUCGGCAUACCGUGACGUCAAGAUGGAAAGGAAUAUCAGAAUUGAUGAGGCUGAGGAGAAUAAGCCAAGUGCAUCUGAUGUGACAAACACUAUAAAGGACCUUGUAUAUAAAAAAAUAGGCCUCCCUGUACUGUUGUUGUUUCCUCCAGGCACAGUGAAGGCAGCUGCAAACAUCACAGUUGCAAUAAGAGUGGCAACAACCAUGCAUGAAGAAGCAGUUUCCUUCAUCCACUUCUCUCCUUCUCGCUUCAAUUUUUUGUGUUCUAGUACAAAUACACAAUCUGGUGUUUUUCCCUCCGAGUUUUCCAUUUCAGUAUACAGAGGUUGGACAAUCUUCUCCACUUCCUGCAGCCAUUACUCACAAAUAACCUAUAUGAAGUGAAAAUAUUUAGAAAAAAAAGAAUGGAGUAACGGCAAACUGAGCAUUAGAAGUUUGACAAUAAUUUCUGGUUACCAAGUUGAACGAAUUAAAAAUUGAGUAACCAACAAAUGCAAUUUUCCCUCACAAGAAAAUAUCAAACCUUGAACCAAAGCAAUUCCCUUCUCAUUUGCAAAGCUGCACCAGAAUCAGUAUUGAGUCGAUUUGGAUGUGGUAGCUUUCCAGCCAAGUGCAACAUAUUAUUGUUCUUCUCAUCUUUAUACAGAGCUAUAAAAUCUUUAAGAGCUCCAAGUUCUUUUAUGAGAUUAAAGACUUUCUCCUGUCUAUGUACUACUGCUGUGUGAAAUAUGCUUCUACUCUGCUCAUCAACCUUCCAUAUGAGAUCAGGAUGCGACCGAAUAAGCACUGUUAUGAACUCUACAAUUCCAAAUUCCGCAGCUGUAAACAGUAAUUGCCGAGGCGUUCUAAUUAAUGCUUUAAGACCUGCAUCAUCUAGGUUCAAAAUCUGUUGCCAAAGUUGCCUCACUAGCUCCAGCGCUUGAAGAUGCCUCAACUUGAUGUUAUAGACCUGGUUAAUGUCUGGAACAAGAUAAUUAAUACUUUUGCAGAGUAGCAAUUUCCCUGUGGAUAAAGCUUGAGUGAUCCAGUGGGCAAAGUGAUCAUCACCCAUGAAAGAAUCACGUUGUAAUUUCACCUGGAGACAUGAAUAGAUAAAUCUCUGCCGAAGUCCCAGUUGAGUUCCACUAUAAAAUGCACUUGGCUUUCGGGACAAUACGUGAAGAGCUGUUUCUCCAUUCCCAUCUCGAGCCAAUGCUAAUUCUGGAUGGUUUUGAAUUAAUUUCAGUGCCAUAUCUGGUUAACAGAUAACAAGUUUUUAAUUUCAAUUUACACUCCAUUGCAACAGCUAGCAAAAUAAUGUAUUCAACGUUGAUAUGAAUUCAACAUUUAUCACAUGCAAUAAACAAUCAUUUUAGAACUGGUGCCAUCUCCAUAAUUGUGAGGUCUUGAGUUCAAGUCUUGUUGGAACUAAAUAACCUGCAUGCCAAACAAACAAUCGAGCAAUUAGAGAAAAAGAUAAGAAGAAGACAUUGUACCAAAUAGAUUGGAAGUGAUAGCAGCAACAAGAAGCCCAACACGAUCCUCUCCUGAAAGAUCUUUAUCAUCUGUGACAGAAUAAAGAUACCAAACCAUAUCCCUUCUUCCCAAAAGAACAGCCAUGUAGAGAGGUGUAGCUCCUUUACUACCUCUAACUAAAGGCAAAGUUUUAUUCUUAUUCACCAACACUCUGGCUAUUUCUGUUAUUCCAGAUACUGCAGCAAAACAUAAGGCUGUAUUUCCAACCUUGUUCUGCAGAGCCAAAUCAUCUGGUGUCAUCUUUUUCACUAGUUUCUUGACAAAUAGUGUAUGCCUUGCCCCAGCUGCAAUGUGAAGCACAGUUUCUAAUCCCCUUGUAAUUGUAGCACGCACGGCAUGUGGGUUCCAUCGCAAGUAAACUUUAGCCGUUCUCCAAUCACCUUUAAGUGCUGCUAGAUAUAGAGGAACAUGCCUGUUUUGGCCAGUGUGUUUCAUCUCCCCUGGAUUGGCAGCUUGUGCUAGUGUAGAGGUAACAAAAUUAUGUUUUGCUUGCAAAGAUUGAGACUGCUCUGCACCAGCAUUUGCAGGGCUAAUUCCCUGGGAGUGUUGAUUUGGAAAGGUAUCAGCAUUAUAGCUUUCAUUCCAUUCAGACAAAACAGAGAGCUUUCGACCAAUGACAGGGCACAGAUUUGAGUGAUCCAAUUUAGUUGGUAAGUUGUUGAACAAGACAUUGUUGUAUAACACAACAGAAGACGAAGAAGGUUCAACAUUGAUUGUAGAAAAAGGGUUAGAGUCCUGUAAAGGAUGGUCUUUAAUAGAUAUAACUGCACCAAAAUUGUCAUGAACAUCACAAGAGUGUGCCUUGAAAUGAUGUGGAAACCUCUCAUGAUCAUCAGCAAUGUCCAGGCACUCUUCUGCCUUGCCACCCCUUGAUGUAUUCCUUUCCAGAAGUUUUCUUUAACCAUUUCAUUCGGAUAUUGGGAUUAGAAUGAAAGAUGCUAAGAGAAUGAAUGAAAAUUUUAAAUAAUAUGUCAAAAUUUUGUGUGAAAAAGAAAGAAAUUCAUUCAAAAAAAAUAAAAGUUCUAAAAAUAUUAGUUCAGAUAUAUUGAUUUCAG